UGGGGAAUAUUGGACAAUGGGCGCAAGCCUGAUCCAGCCAUGCCGCGUGGAUGAAGAAGGCCCUAGGGUUGUAAAGUCCUUUCGAUGGUGAAGAUAAUGACGGUAACCAUACAAGAAGCCCCGGCUAAUUUCGUGCCAGCAGCCGCGGUAAUACGAAAGGGGCUAGCGUUGUUCGGAAUUACUGGGCGUAAAGCGCACGUAGGCGGCAAUGUAAGUUGGGGGUGAAAUCCCGGGGCUCAACCCCGGAACUGCCUCCAAAACUACAUAGCUAGAGGAUGCGAGAGGAUAGUGGAAUUCCGAGUGUAGAGGUGAAAUUCGUAGAUAUUCGGAGGAACACCAGUGGCGAAGGCGGCUCACUGGCUCGAUACUGACGCUGAGGUGCGAAAGCGUGGGGAGCAAACAGGAUUAGAUACCCGUGUAGUCC
rnacentral:rRNA from 1 species